rnacentral:misc_RNA from 1 species
GUACUCUCACACUCUCUGAUCCUUUGGAUUUGGGGAGCGGUGGACUUGGGUGCUUGCUGCUUUCCUUGUGGCUCACCUCAAAUGCGUCAGUGCAUCUCUUGAUUGGACAUAGUACGGCGUGAUAAGUGUCUUCGCCGGCACCUCAUAAGAGGGUGACCGAUUGGGAGCUCUGUGCUUCAAACUGUCCUCGGACAAUCUCUGACA